CGCUGUUCACCACGGAGGUGCUGAGAAGUGACAAUGCAAAGCUCACAGUCUAUCAGUGCAAAAGAAGGAAAGUACUGUCCACACAGCUGUUGCCAUCACAAGUGGCCAAAAGGAUAAACCAUUCGCCUUAUUCACCUCGAACGUUCCACCGAGCCUGAGGGGUACACUUACCACUUCCGGUAGUUCUCACAACGCGAUUUCUCUCAGUGCAAUGGCACCUCACUGCUGUGUUCCCCGAUGCACUUCAUCACACAGGAAAAAGUCCAACAGAGGACAAACGUUUCACCGUUUCCCCAAAGAUCCUGGACUACAUCGACAAUGGAUAAUAAACAUCAGAAGGGAUCCUGGUCGUAAUUUUAAGUAAUGUUUCCACGGAGCUCGAUGAUCGACAUGGUGUGAAUGUGUUGAGUGAAGAGACACCACCUCCGCACCCAGACCAUGAAUAUGCUGCACUGCCUCCCUCACUUCAAGAUCAACUUGAGGAAGCUCGCAAGACCAUCGGUGAUCAAGAACUUUUAAUUUUAGAGCUUCAACAAAAACAGUUUUUGAUUUCGAAUUUUCAAGGUGACGAUAAACAGAUUUCAUUUUAUACAGGGUUCCCAGAUUAUGAUACAUUUAAAGCUGUGUUUAUGGCCCUGCAACCUACUGCAGAAAAUAUGGUGGGAUGGAGUCAGGCUCAGCGACUUAAACAUACAAGUGGGGAUGUACUUCGUCAAGGCUUUAGCGCCUCUAAAUUGUCCACUAUGGACCAGUUUUUUCUUUGUAGGUUGAGGCAGGGAUUUCCUGAGCAGGAUCUUGAAACCCGUUUCCAUGUAUCGCAGUCAACAGUAAGCAGGAUCUGUGUGACCUGGGUCAAUUUUUUGUAUUUUAUGUUGGGAUCACUUCCAAUGUGGCCUUCAAGGAAACCUGUGGAUGAACUUAUGCCAGAUUGUUUUAAAUGCACGUUCCCGGCUACUAGAGUUAUAUUGGAUUGCACAGAAAUUCAUGUACAGAAACCUAGCUCCAAGGUACUUAACUCAGCGAUUUAUUCACACUACAAAGGUAACACCACAUUUAAGGGCCUAAUAGGCAUUGCCCCCUCAGGUGAAGUGACUUUUGUCAGUGAUUUAUAUACAGUAGGGCUGGGACAACGCGUAGACGUCAUCGAUGACGUCGACGCAAAAAAUAUGUAGACGCAAAAUAUGCGCGUCGAUUCGUCAGACCCAAAACAAAGAUGGUGGCGCCGGCAAGUAGUAGCAACACGAGUGGCUCCUCAGACUAUCAGAAGUGCAAGGCGGCAUGCACUCGUUCCUCUAAAGUAUGGGAAUUCUUUAAUUUAAAAGGAAACAAUUCCGUGAUAUGUCGUCUUUGCAAAAUGGAGAUGGCCUUCCAUUCUAGCGCUACGGCAAUGCACCAGCACCUUAAGAGGCGCCACCCGGUUGCAGCUGCAGAUGACAGAGCACCGUAAGUUUUUUUUUCAACUCCCCACUUUGCACUCGAUGUUGGAGUAGGCUAUAGUACGUUGUCGACACCUAAAGUUUUCGCUUAUAGCUAUUAAUAAAGCGCUUAUAGCUAUGAAUGUCGUGAAAAAUACAUAGAGGACACAGACAACGCGCUGACAGACAGGACCAAGCAGGUAACAUUUAAUAAAGUCUCAACUUUCAAAUUUGGUCAUUCAAAGAAAAUUAAACCAUAAAUAGGCCUACUAUUUUGUGGCUCUUUAAUGUGUCGUGACAGAUUGCCUCAGUUAAAGCUGCUCGUGAACCGAUCAUCUUUUCCUUGGUUAAUUAAAUAGGCUAAACAUGAAUGUAGCCUACAUCAGAAGGACUGUUGUUUUAACCACGGAAAGAUGUCAGUACGGUAGCCUACAAUCCAUUAUUCAAAUUCAAAUCCACCUACGUUAAUCUUCUCUCUCCUGACUACUUUGUCGGACAAAAAUGGAGUAUUAUGAUUGAUUGAUCAGAUCGCCUGUCAAUCAAACUCCCGGCAAAUGUUUUUUUUUUUUACAUUUUAUACACCCCACCCCCGAUGAAACCGGUAUUACCAGUGUUGUCACAAGUCGAAUCGAAAUCGAAUCGGACUGAAAAAACUAAUCGUUAGAUUAAUCGAUGCAUCGAAAAUAAUAAUCGCUAGAUUAAUCGUUUAAAAAAUAAUCGUUUAUCCCAGCCCUAAUAUACAGGUUCAAUAUCUGACAAAGAAAUUACCAAAAAAUCAGGUAUCCUUUCUGUUCUCGAAGGAGAUAUGGUAAUGGCCGAUAAAGGCUUUCUCAUCAAGGACCCUCUCGCUGAAAUACAGUUCUCCCUUGUAAUCCCUCCUUUUUUAGGCCCAAGUGGACACUUCACUGCAGACGAAGUACGAAAGACUCAAGCGAUAGCAAGACUGCGAAUUCAUGUAGAGCGCGCUAUUAGGCGGAUUAAAGAGUACCAUAUUUUUGAUAAAGUCUUACCCAUGACACUGGUGGGCUCCGUUAACCAACUGUGGGCCGUCUGUGCCCUCUUAACUAAUUUUCAAAGUCCUCUCUUUUAAAAUUGUAAUGUUAAUGUAAAUAUCUACCAAUGUUAUAUAAAUCUCUACAACUGAAAUCUUAAAAUCUACAAAUGUAUUCAAACCUUGAAUAGAAAGUUUUCAUCUUUACGAAUCUGAACAAAGCCUUAAUCAUUAUUGUUCUUCUUUAUGAAUCUGUACAAAGCCUUAAUCAUUAUUGUUCUUCUUUAUGAAUCUGUACAAAGCCUUAACCAUCAUUGUUCUUCUUUAUGAAUCUAUACAUAUGUGAACUUGUAUUGUUAACAUAGCACCUUAUCAUGGUCAGUGUAUCACAGGAUCAGUCCCUAUAAUCACUUCUCAUGCUCUUUACUUUUACAUACCUGUGAGUGAUUU